rnacentral:rRNA from 1 species
CUACGGGUGGCUGCAGUGAGGAAUAUUGCACAAUGGGGGGAACCCUGAUGCAGCAACGCCGCGUGGAGGAUGACGCAUUUCGGUGUGUAAACUCCUUUUAUAUGUCAAGAAAAUGACGGUAGCAUAUGAAUAAGCACCGGCUAACUCCGUGCCAGCAGCCGCGGUAAUACGGAGGGUGCGAAGCGUUACUCGGAAUCACUGGGCGUAAAGGACGCGUAGGCGGGUUGGAAAGUCAGGUGUGAAAUCCUACAGCUUAACUGUAGAACUGCACUUGAAACUUCUAAUCUAGAGUAUGGGAGGGGGAGAUGGAAUUAGUGGUGUAGGGGUAAGAUCCGUAGAUAUCACUAGGAAUACCUAAAGCGAAGGCGAUCUCCUGGAACAUUACUGACGCUAAGGCGUGAAAGCGUGGGGAGCAAACAGGAUUAGAUACCCCCGUAGUC